AGCUCCAUCAGUGUAUAUUAACGUUGUUGCGGUUAAAAAGCUCGUAGUCGACGAUAGGAGAAGGUGAGAACGAGGAUGCCCGAAUUGGGUGGUCCGGUUCGGCCUCUCCAGAUGUUAGGGUAGAGGGUGGGGGGGCUUUGCGGCUCUCUCAUAUUUCCACUCCCUAUAGUUUACUUUGAUAAAAUCAGAGUGUUCAAAGCAGGCGUCACUUGCCUUGAAUGUUGCCGCAAGGGAUAAUGGAAUAUGACUUUGGUCUUAUUUUGUUGGUUUCUAGGGCUGAAGUAAUGACUAAUAGGGACAGUUGGGGGCGCUCGUAUUGAGUUGUCAGAGGUGAAAUUCUAGGAUUUACUCAAGACGAACUAGUGCGAAAGCAUUCGCCAAGGAUGUUUUCAUUGAUCAA
rnacentral:rRNA from 1 species